UGAAUUUUAAAAACGAAACAACGCCAUGUAAUAAAUAAGUUUUCUAGACCGCAAAUUAAAGAGUAAUUAAAUCAUUUGGUAUUGUUUCCAUGCUUUGAAACGAUGAAAAAUCUCUGAAAACAGCAGAUAACUGAACCCGCAGAAAGAGCUUCAAAUAUUUAUCGCUCUUCUGAGUACAAUCAUUGAGUAAUGGAAAGCAGAAUCGACAAGUUUCAGUAAAAGCAACAAGUUUAGUAAAAUUCGGCAAGAGCAUUAAGGAUUUGACCUGCAGUUUUAAAGCAAACUUUCACAGCUUUCUAGGAUUUGAUGAGCAAUUGAUGGCUCAUCAAUUACUUCUUUCUACGACUUGGACUACGAGGUUGAGAGGAAUCACGACUAACAUUGCCCAUUACAACGUCGUCUUCAAGGCCAAACACUUUAGGAUUAAAACCUGGAAUAAUGCCUGGCUCUACAGAGAACACAUGAUGUAAAAAUUCAAUGUCAAUAGGAACUUCUUCUCGAAUAGGGUUUGUAAGCCAUUGUUUUAUAGUAUUAUCACGAAGAAUUUCAUUAUAACCUGGCAAGUCUUGGAUGUAAGCCUUGUACGAACGACGCAUCUUUCUCUUGUUACCAAAUUCAUCGACACGUCCAACCUUUUUAGCAAGUUCCGUAAGACCAUAAAGCUCUAUUAAAUUCUGAUGGGCAGAAGGCCUCGUCGGUUGGUAGUCUACACUACCUACAUAGUGGUAUUCAGGAGCUUGCGCCAUGCAAAUAAAUUGACCAAUGUAACAAUAAGAAUAUAUUAUUGCAUUCAAAUUUUUUAAAUAUAUAUGCAAUGAAUGCUUUACUCUCUAAGUUGCUUAGCUGGAUAGUUUGGAGUAGUGGUUGGUGGUUUAAAGAAGCUAUAGCAUACUUGGCUAGUAUAAUUAUUGAGUUACUUCCAAGGGUAAUCGAUUUAACAUAAAUUGUAAUUAAUAAAUUGCAUCAAAA